GUCCACGCCGUAAACGAUGAUAACUAGCUGUCCGGGCUCAUGGAGUUUGGGUGGCGCAGCUAACGCAUUAAGUUAUCCGCCUGGGGAGUACGGUCGCAAGAUUAAAACUCAAAGGAAUUGACGGGGGCCUGCACAAGCGGUGGAGCAUGUGGUUUAAUUCGAAGCAACGCGCAGAACCUUACCAGCUUUUGACAUCCCGAUCGCGAUUACCAGAGAUGGUUUUCUUCAGUUCGGCUGGAUCGGUGACAGGUGCUGCAUGGCUGUCGU
rnacentral:rRNA from 1 species